AACGAACGCUGGCGGCAUGCCUAACACAUGCAAGUCGAACGAAGCCUUCGGGCUUAGUGGCGCACGGGUGCGUAACGCGUGGGAUUCUGCCCUUUGGUUCGGAAUAACAGUUGGAAACGACUGCUAAUACCGGAUGAUGACGAAAGUCCAAAGAUUUAUCGCCAGAGGAUGAGCCCGCGUAGGAUUAGCUAGUUGGUGUGGUAAGGGCGCACCAAGGCGACGAUCCUUAGCUGGCCUGAGAGGAUGAUCAGCCACACUGGGACUGAGACACGGCCCAGACUCCUACGGGAGGCAGCAGUGGGGAAUAUUGGACAAUGGGCGAAAGCCUGAUCCAGCAAUGCCGCGUGAGUGAUGAAGGCCUUAGGGUUGUAAAGCUCUUUUACCCGGGAUGAUAAUGACAGUACCGGGAGAAUAAGCUCCGGCUAACUCCGUGCCAGCAGCCGCGGUAA
rnacentral:rRNA from 1 species